rnacentral:lncRNA from 1 species
UUGUCUACCUGCAGGGUCCCUGCCUACACCAAUUCCUUCAGCUUCCAUUAUUUCUUAAUCAGGCCAACAGGGAGAAGAAGGUUCUGCAUCAUCAGGGUAAGCUUUUACUCUCUUCAAUUCUCUUCAUUUUCUUCUCCCCGUUGGGUUUUCUGGGCCUUUAUUCAGGGCGAUGCUUGCAGAAGGGAGGUGCCUCUCAGGUUGUGUUGCUCUUGGAUGCGAUGGUGCCAUGGAAGAUGGAGGCGCGCCUGGCGGAGACGGUGUGGGUGGUGCUCCUCGGCUGGGUCUCCUCCUGCCUC